AAUUGAAGAAAAAGGCACACAACUUGCAACUAGUAUUUCAACUCUUGAUUAGAACGUUUCGGCCAGGGGGGGAAUUGUCUCUAGGGCCAAUCGCUGUACGGUCUUAUGUCCUAAUAUGACGUCACGCGCUAUUUCGYGAAGAAGUCCUCGUGUGGAGAAUGGCUUCAAAGUGUUUGAUCUACAAAAUAUGCAUGUUUUUAGAGAAAGUGAACUUCGAACUUAACAAAUAAUGUAGAGGAAGUCUCUGAGUAUUGUAUUUUGGAAACAAAUAUAUGGAAUUUAUACUCUACUAUUAAAUUUUAUGGGAAAGAAGACAGUUAGUCCGAAACAAAAUGGCGGAAAUUUUCAUUGCUCGRAAACAUAAAUGUGGUGAUAUUUUGAGAUCUACGCAAGAAAUCGUCACCAAAGGAGGAAGAUUUCUAAAGUAAAGUCGGAGGDUUUUGGAAUUGUAUACAUCAAGCUUGUCGGAUCAGAGGAACUUCGUUUCUUUUGCUUUGAACACCAAGAGUGAUGAACAUGGAACAUGGAACAACCUGUGUAUUGAACUUGUGCUACUAUCUUACGUCACAUGGAAAACAUUGGUCCUAAAAGUUUACAAUAUAUUGCAAACACUAGUUCAGUGCUAGGUAUGCAUGUCAGCAAUCCUGCAGGAAUGUAAGUGAAUAACAGUAGCAGRGUUAUCUAGUUUGUUCUGCCUAAGUCACCUUCCACCRUCAACUAAUGGCUUAGACAGUAAAGUACAUGUAACUUGAUCAUGGUCUUGCUGUCUAAUUUGAGAAUACUAUUGAAAAGAUGAGCAUUCAGAAGAUUGCCAGUCAGUUAAUUUUUUCUUUACAGUCCUGUUCAUUGAAAUAAUUUAUGUAUUUCUGAAAAUGUGAGACAUGACAAUUCAUAGCAAAGUGGUAAAACAGUUGAGUUAAAGAAAUGUAAUUAAAAUAUUUUAAGUUGACUAGAAAACAGCUAAUUGAAGAUGUAUGUUCUACUGUAGGUAUGCUUGUGUUCUCCAUCUCCCACCGUGUUAAUCUUUCCUAUUAAGUUCCCUACAUAAACUCUUUUGCUUGUU